CCUACGGGUGGCUGCAGUGAGGAAUAUUGGUCAAUGGGCGAGAGCCUGAACCAGCGAAGUCGCGUGAAGGAUGAAGGAUCUAUGGUCUGUAAACUUCGUUUAUAUGGGAGUAAAGUGAGGGACGUAUUCCUUUUUGUAUGUACCAUAUGAGUAAGCAUCGGCUAACUCCGUGCCAGCAGCCGCGGUAAUACGGAGGAUGCGAGCGUUAUCCGGAUUUAUUGGGUUUAAAGGGUGCGUAGGUGGUUAAUUAAGUCAGCGGUGAAAGUUUGUGGCUCAACCAGACAAUUGCCGUUGAAACUGGGUGACUGGAGUAUAUGUGAGGUAGGCGGAAUGCGUGGUGUAGCGGUGAAAUGCAUAGAUAUCACGCAGAACUCCGAUUGCGAAGGCAGCUAACUAAACUAUAACUGACGCUGAAGAACGAAAGCGUGGGGAGCAAACAGGAUUAGAUACCCGUGUAGUC
rnacentral:rRNA from 1 species